GCCGAGAAGCCCGGGCGGCCCGCUGUGUCCAGAGAAGGGGGCGGGGCUAGACGCGGCCUUGCCGACCAUUAGAGCGCUGAGCGACCCGGAGACUACAUUUCCCAGGGGGCCCCGCGCGGCGCGUUUCGAGCCGAGUGCGCAGGCGCACGAAGCUCUAUGAUUAUAUAAGGGC
rfam:Oryctolagus cuniculus cont2.65226, whole genome shotgun sequence.